UACAGGGGGGGCAAGCGUUGUUCGGAAUUACUGGGCGUAAAGGGCUCGUAGGUGGCCAACUAAGUCGGACGUGAAAUCCCUCAGCUUAACUGGGGAACUGCAUCCGAUACUGGAUGGCUUGAGUUUGGGAGAGGGAUGCGGAAUUCCAGGUGUAGCGGUGAAAUGCGUAGAUAUCUGGAGGAACACCGGUGGCGAAGGCGGCAUCCUGGACCAACACUGACACUGAGGAGCGGAAGGCUAGGGGAGCGAACGGG
rnacentral:rRNA from 1 species